rnacentral:lncRNA from 1 species
UUUGUAGCGUAAAAGCUAAAUAAAUUCAUACAUACUGUACUAUAGAUAACCAAAGUAUAAAAUUUAAUUUACAGUGACACGUGGGCCCAUGAACGACCAAAAGUAUCAAAAACGGUAAACCUACAGUUUUUUAGGAUGCAAGUCCAACUGUAGCUUUCAACAAAGUGACCUAUCUACCGACUAUCCUAAGCCUGAAAUGGGUGGAAAUGAGGGUGGUGAGAUUAUAUAAUCCCAGUGAGUAAGCAAAUAUCAUCGAAAAUAUCUAAAAUUGAGUAAAUAGAGAUAGAUAAAAUAGUUUAACAUACUAUAAUUCAUCACCUUUCAACUCAUUUCAACCAAAUAAAAUUAAUUCAUAUAUAUCGAGUAAUCAACAUGGCUUAUGAAUUCCUUAAAAGCUUUGGCUCAUGCCAAAAUCAUUCUCAUACUCAGUUAUCAGGAAUACCUUGGUCGAGGGCUAUCCCAACCGAGUCUGCCAAGGCUAUUAAAAAGUUAUGUACGCAUAAAUCAUGUUUUUAUUUUGAAAACAUAGUCGUUCCUUGGUGCUGGCUAAGUUCACCCUCAUGUGGUGGUUUGGCGUGAAGUGAACUCUAAAGUGUUAACCUUAGGAGUUAUCCAUCCGCGCCUCUCAUACUGAGGUAUGAAUAUAAUAGGGUUACUGUGCCUCCUCUAAUAGGCUGGUCCACGGAACCCGUCCACUGCAGCGACUAAUCAAUAACCCACCAAUUCAAUAAAAUUCAACAGCAUGACAUGGCAAUUUUAUCAUUAUCCAGCAUAUCAAGGCAAACAACAAUUUAUACAUUUUCAACACAAAUGCCAAUUCAACCAUUCAUGCCAAUAUUAUCAUAAGCCAUUCAAUUCAAACCAUGAUUUGUAACACAACAAUUAGUCUCCAAUUACUCCAUUUUCAAAACCAUCAUUCAAUUUCAAGACAAUUUUAUAAAAUCAUUUCAUUUAAACACAUUUUGUUUAUAAAACAUAAAGAUUUACUAUUUAAACUCAUUUUUCAUAAAAUCACAAAAUCGGAUAAAAACCACUUUAGAUAAUUAAGACGAUAGUAAGGUUACUCACUAUUUCGGGAGUCAAAUUUCGAGUACUCCGAUUCUUGAUCCUCGGGUACUAUCUCUUUACUUUUGCCAAAAUGUUCACCACCUAGACAUAAUGCACAAUAAGCCAUUCGCUACAUUUGUGCUAAAUUGUUAUAAAACCAAUUCAGGCUCUAUACUAAUGCAUGAAAUGGGGUGUGAAAUACUCGGGUAACUAUCUAAAUACGGUGUUCAAUAUAAAUUCAAUUAUGUACCUAAAUAAAAUGGUAUUGGCCUAAUUCGAUCUAUCACCUGAUUAAUUGGCCAAUACGUCCAAUUCAACUCCAAAUAAUUUCAAUUUUCUCCCAAUACUCCAAAUCAUCAAACACAAAUUAAAUAACUUGAGAUAUAGCAAAAUCAUCCUCACAUUUUCUCUUGAAAAAUUCAACCAUGGUGGGUGCAUCAACACUAUAAUUUUUCAAGCUUGAUUCUCACACCAUAAAUCACUAAUUCCUAACCAAAUCACUUGAAAUAAAAUCAAAAUCAUCCUCAAUAUUCCACAUGGAGAAUUAGGCCAAUGAUGGGUGAUGGAAGAACAUGAAUUUUUCUUGCUUGAUUUGCAUACUACACAUCACCAAUCAACUAAAAACACUAAAAUACAUUGAAAUCUAACCAAAUCAAGCAUCAAAACCUCUCUCUAAGUGUUCAGCCAGCAAGAUACCCAUCAUGAAAUCAUGUGAUUCAACCAUGGAAAAUGCAAAAGAAUGUAUGGGAAAGGUAGAUCACAAGUCAAAAUCAAGAAAUUUUACCUUUGAUUGCUUGAUUACUUGAAAUCCACCAAUUUUCUCUUGAAUUUUCACCUUGGGGUUCUUGUUCUUUCUUUUCUUCCUUUGUUCUUGCUUUGGCCGGCCAUAUGAAGAGAAAUGGGC